GACGAACGCUGGCGGCGUGCUUAACACAUGCAAGUCGAACGGAGCACCCUUGAAAGAGUUUUCGGACAAUGGAUAGGAAUGCUUAGUGGCGGACUGGUGAGUAACGCGUGAGGAACCUGCCUUUCGGAGGGGGACAACAGUUGGAAACGACUGCUAAUACCGCAUGAUACAUUGGUGUCGCAUGGCACUGAUGUCAAAGAUUUAUCGCCGAAAGAUGGCCUCGCGUCUGAUUAGCUAGUUGGUGAGGUAACGGCCCACCAAGGCGACGAUCAGUAGCCGGACUGAGAGGUUGGCCGGCCACAUUGGGACUGAGAUACGGCCCAG
rnacentral:rRNA from 1 species